rnacentral:rRNA from 1 species
AUUUUUCUCAAUGGGGGAAACCCUGAAGGAGCGACGCCGCGUGGGGGAUGAAGGGUUUCGAUCCGUAAACCCCUGUCAUUCGCGAACAAUGGUUGCUGUUUAAGAGAUGGCAAUUUGAUAGUAGCGGAAGAGGAAGGGACGGCUAACUCUGUGCCAGCAGCCGCGGUAAUACAGAGGUCCCGAGCGUUGUUCGGAUUCACUGGGCGUAAAGGGUGCGUAGGUGGUGAGGUAAGUCGGAUGUGAAAGCUCCGGGCUCAACCCGGAAAUGGCAUUGGAAACUACCUUGCUUGAGGUUUGGAGGGGGGACUGGAAUUCUCGGUGUAGCAGUGAAAUGCGUAGAUAUCGAGAGGAACACCAGUGGCGAAGGCGAGUCCCUGGACAACACCUGACACUGAGGCACGAAAGCCGGGGGAGCAAACAGG